CCCCUCCCCUGGGGCUGGAAGAACAGGGCCGGGGCGCAGCGGGCGCUGGGCUCAGUAGAGCACGGGGGGGCGCGCCACGCCACGCCACGCCAGUGUGCCCUCACUAUAGCGCUCGCUCGCUCUGCGUCUGGAGCGAGGGGCGCCUCCCCCUCCAGCCGAAUGCGGCAGGCAGCUGCUGGGGCCCACCCCUGGCCAUUUUGUGCUGGCGCAGAAGCGUGAAAGGAGGCGCGCAGAGGUGGAGUCUCCCCGGGAGUCUUACACAAGACGCCAGCACUGUGGACAGACCGAUAGAGACAGAAGUACUUCCCCAGGACAUUGGACUUGUCAGCUACAAGAAGGCUUUGAAGAUGCCCAGCUGCAGGGUACCAAAAAGGAACGGAGCAGCUACCACGCACAGUUCAGGAUGCGAGAUCUGCUCCUGCAAUCGGUCAAUCUCCUGGUGCACGGAUCCACGCCUUGGAGAAGCUGACAAGACCAAGACCCUGGUGAGGUACUAUCAUUUUCACAGCUAAACAGACUGGACUUGGCUUUGCUUUAGGCUCAUUUACCAGUGAUGAGUUGCAGUAAAUAAAGCCUUUGUCAUUCAUG